rnacentral:rRNA from 1 species
GACGAACGCUGGCGGCGUGCCUAAUACAUGCAAGUCGAGCGCAGGAAAUCAUCCGAACCCUUCGGGGGGACGUUGAUGGAAUGAGCGGCGGACGGGUGAGUAACACGUAAAGAACCUGCCCUCAGGUCUGGGAUAACCACGAGAAAUCGGGGCUAAUACCGGAUGGGUCAUCGGACCGCAUGGUCCGAGGAUGAAAGGCGCUUCGGCGUCGCCUGGGGAUGGCUUUGCGGUGCAUUAGCUAGUUGGUGGGGUAAUGGCCCACCAAGGCGACGAGGCAUAGCCGGCCUGAGAGGGUGAUCGGCCACACUGGGACUGAGACACGGCCCAGACUCCUACGGGAGGCAGCAGUAGGGAAUCUUCCACAAUGGACGAAAGUCUGAUGGAGCAACGCCGCGUGAACGAUGAAGGCCUUCGGGUCGUAAAGUUCUGUUGUAAGGGAAGAACAAGUGCCGCAGGCAAUGGCGGCACCUUGACGGUACCUUGCGAGAAAGCCACGGCUAACUACGUGCCAGCAGCCGCCGUAA